AUUGAACGCUGGCGGCAGGCUUAACACAUGCAAGUCGAACGAGUGGCGGACGGGUGAGUAAUGCUUGGGAAUCUAGCUUAUGGAGGGGGAUAACUACUGGAAACUGUAGCUAAUACCGCGUACCAUAGGAUGAGCCCAAGUGGGAUUAGGUAGUUGGUGAGGUAAAGGCUCACCAAGCCGACGAUCUCUAGCUGGUCUGAGAGGAUGACCAGCAAAACUGGAAGUGGGCAACGGCCCAGACUCCUACGGGAGGCAGAAGUGGGAAAUAUUGGGCAAGGGGGUCAGCCUGAGGCAGCCAUGCCGCGUGAAUGAGGAAGGCCUUCGGGUUGUAAAGUACUUUCGGCAGCGAGGCGUUAACGACAGAAGAAGCACCGGCUAACUCCGUGCCAGCAGCCGCGGUAAUAC
rnacentral:rRNA from 1 species